AACCAAUCGACUUUUUAUUAAGUCGUAAUAAAUUGAUGAAUUCUGAGUAACUACUUUAUUAGCGAACCGCAUGAUCUCGUAUCGGCGGUCUGUCGGUCAAGCAACUGCCUUAUCAGCUUGUCAUUAGGUUACAUGCCUAACGAGGCGUCAACGGGUAACGAACGAUUGGGGUCUGACAUCGGAGAGGGAGCCUGAGAAACGGCUACCACAUCUAAGGAAGGCAGCAGGCGCGCAAAUUACCCACUCCCGGCACGGGGAGGUAGUGACGAGAAAUAACGAUGCGGGGCCCAUAUGGGCGCUCGUAAUCGGAAUGAGUACACUUUAAAUCCUUUAACGAGGAUCUAUUGGAGGGCAAGUCUGGUGCCAGCAGCCGCGGUAAUUCCAGCUCCAAUAGCGUAUAUUAAUGCUGCUGCGGUUAAAAAGCUCGUAGUUUGAUUUCUGGACGGGCGCCAACACCCGCUUGUUUAGUGUGGAGGCGGCGCCCGCCCAUCCUUCUGUUAACGCCACCGGCAUUCAUUUGCUGGCGGCGGGCUCAGAUAUUUUACCUUGAGAAAAUUAGAGUGUUUCAGGCAGGCU
rnacentral:rRNA from 1 species